rnacentral:rRNA from 1 species
AGAUUGAACGCUGGCGGCAGGCCUAACACAUGCAAGUCGAGCGGCAGCACGGGUACUUGUACCUGGUGGCGAGCGGCGGACGGGUGAGUAAUGCCUAGGAAUCUGCCUGGUAGUGGGGGAUAACGCUCGGAAACGGCGCUAAUACCGCAUACGUCCUACGGGAGAAAGCAGGGGACCUUCGGGCCUUGCGCUAGUCAGAUGAGCCUAGGUCGGAUUAGCUAGUUGGUGAGGUAAUGGCUCACCGAAGGCCGAACGAUCCCGUAGCUGGGUCUGAGAGGAUCGGAUCGAGCCCACGCGUGGAACUGGAGACACGGGUCCAGUACUCCGAGGGAGCAGCAGGUGGGAAUUGUGACAAG